rnacentral:misc_RNA from 1 species
AAAAAGCGAUAUACAGUGUGAAUUGCAGAAUACCGUGAAUCAUCGGGAUCUUGAAUGUAACUGACGGCGCGGCUUCGGCCCGCUGUGCCGUGCCGAGACCUAGCGUAAAAAUUUUCUUUCCGGUUCCGGAUCUUUCCGGUUCCGGAAGAAAAAUUGCCGGUGCGCCCGCUUUUUUUUUAGCGUGACGCUCGGUUAAAAUAAUUUACCGGCUUCUACCGGCGUUAAGGAAAAUUUCCGGAACCGCCGCUUCGAACCGGUAACAUUUACCGCGGCAAUUUUUUGCCGUUAAAAAAUUUCUAGGCUCGGCACGGUACGACGACCCGCUGGACUUAA